GCGCUUUUAGUUCAGUUCGGUAGAACGUAGGUCUCCAAAACCUGAUGUCGUGGGUUCGAAUCCUACAGAGCGCG
rnacentral:tRNA from 8 species